rnacentral:lncRNA from 1 species
CCCUAAACAUCAUGGAAAAGUUGGUCCUGUGGUGUGAAAACCCACAUGAAACCAGAUGAACGUUAGGUAAAUAUUCUUUCUUAGAGGUUCAGCUGUAUAAACUAAAACUAGGAAUGAUGAAGAAGAAGAAAGGAAGAAGGAAUCCAUGUUCCUUAGUGGACACAGAAGUGAAGAGCAGCCAGCUAAAUUAACCUGGAUUGAUGAAUGAUAAUUAAAGAAUUAUCAAUUGAAGAUACAUUUUUAUGCCAUUUUUCAAGAUUAUACUGGAUGACUAUUGUGAAACACCAAAGAAAACACUCCAGGAAUUCUGAAACAAACAAACAAAAUGCGCAGGUAACAAAGUGAAUUUCUAAAAAGAAUUCGUGUUAAUUCAGGUUGGAUACAAUUGUUGAAACUUGAUUAUUAGAGACAAUUCAAAAUCUUCAUAACACCACCAAAAAGCAAUAGAUGACACCAUUUAAAUUUCACGGUAAGCUAUCCAAACACAAAUAGAUGUGUUCUAUACAGAAAUGAAGAACAGAGGGACUGGGUGUGCUUUAUGAUAGCUUUGUGACAAAUGACACAUACAUAGAGUGCAGUGUAACUGACUCUAAAGCAAAUUCAGCUGCUUUUUUCUGGUCUCUUCUUUUUUCUGUAUAAUGUGUACAGCAGUACAAAUGUUUAGACGGCGUCUAGUGACUACAAACAAAGAGUAUUCAAUAUAGUGUGUAUGUUUACCAAAGAAAUUGUGUUUUAGAUGGGAAAAUCUGAUGUUCUUUUUAACGACUAUAGAAUGUGGAGUAGUUAGGAUAGGGAAAAGGGUAUUUGUUUUAUUCAUGGGCCAUUGCAAAAUGAUCCUCCUGUGUCGUAGGGGAUGGUGAGCUCAUGGAGUCUGAAUCACUGACUUACAAGACAGAUCUAUUUCCAGGAAAGGAAAAAGAUUUUGUUGAUAAUGUAAUGAGAAUGCAAAUAAUUUCUUUGAUGAUGCUAGAAUUUUGGUAGUAUUAGUCUGCUGCUAGCAUGCUAUGAAUUCUGUGUAAUUAAAUGGAAUUGGAUUGUGGACCUGGCUUUAUGAAGACGGCACUGGUUUCUGAGUAAUACCCUAUUCAAACACCUCACUCUGAUGUAUUGCAUUAAUAGAUCAUCAGAAGCAGUUGUCAGUCCAAUGAUGUAUUAGUGUAAUACAUGAGAACGAGACUCACUGAUGAUGUAUUUAGUACUCACAAGAUGGCAGUGUCCAAAGAAGAAAUGGGCCC